UACGAAGGGGGCGAGCGUUGUUCGGAUUUAUUGGGCGUAAAGAGCUCGUAGGCGGUUUGUGGCGUCGACUGUGAAAACCUACAGCUUAACUGUGGGCUUGCAGUCGAUACGGGCAGACUUGAGUUCGGUAGGGGAGACUGGAAUUCCUGGUGUAGCGGUGAAAUGCGUAGAUAUCAGGAGGAACACCGGUGGCGAAGGCGGGUCUCUGGGCCGAUACUGACGCUGAGGAGCGAAAGCGUGGGGAGCGAACAGG
rnacentral:rRNA from 1 species